CAGCAGCCGCGGUAACACCAGCAGCCCAAGUGGUGGUCGCGUUUAUUGGGCCUAAAGCGCUCGUAGCCUGGCCGGUAAGUUCCCCGUGAAAUCGGGUCGCCCAACGAUUCGGCUUGCGGGGAAUACUGUCGGUCUUGGGGCCGGGAGACGCCGAGGGUACUCCGGGGGUAGCGGUGAAAUGCUGUAAUCCUCGGGGGACUACCAGUGGCGAAGGCGCUCGGCGAUAACGGGCCUGACGGUGAGGGGCGAAAGCUGGGGGCGCGAACGGGAUUAGAUACCCCAGUAGUCCCUGUCUCUUAUU
rnacentral:rRNA from 1 species